rnacentral:rRNA from 1 species
GUGAGGAAUUUUCCGCAAUGGGCGAAAGCCUGACGGAGCAAUGCCGCGUGAAGGAUGAAGGCCUAUGGGUUGUAAACUUCUUUUCUCAGAAAAGAAUUAUGACGGUAUCUGAGGAAUAAGCAUCGGCUAACCCUGUGCCAGCAGCCGCGGUAAGACAGAGGAUGCAAGCGUUAUCCGGAAUGAUUGGGCGUAAAGCGUCUGUAGGUUGUUUAAAAAGUAUUCUGUCAAAGAUUAGGGCUUAACCCUAGAUAGGCAGAAUAAACUUUUAAGCUAGAGUUUGGUAGAGGCAGAGGGAAUUCCCGGUGGAGCGGUGAAAUGCGUAGAUAUCGGGAGGAACACCAAAGGCGAAGGCACUCUGCUGGGCCAAUACUAACACUGAGAGACGAAAGCGAGGGGAGCAAAUGGGAUUAGAAACCCUUGUAGUCC